AUUGAACGCUGGCGGCAUGCCUUACACAUGCAAGUCGAACGGCAGCGGGGACUUCGGUCCGCCGGCGAGUGGCGAACGGGUGAGUAAAGUAUCGGAACGUACCUUUCAGUGGGGGAUAACGUAGCGAAAGUUACGCUAAUACCGCAUAUUCUGUGAGCAGGAAAGCAGGGGAUCGCAAGACCUUGCGCUGAUUGAGCGGCCGAUAUCAGAUUAGCUAGUUGGUGGGGUAAAGGCCUACCAAGGCGACGAUCUGUAGCGGGUCUGAGAGGAUGAUCCGCCACACUGGAACUGAGACACGGUCCAGACUCCUACGGGAGGCAGCAGUGGGGAAUUUUGGACAAUGGGGGCAACCCUGAUCCAGCCAUGCCGCGUGAGUGAAGAAGGCCUUCGGGUUGUAAAGCUCUUUCGGCCGGGAAGAAAUCGCAUAGGUUAAUACCCUGUGUGGAUGACGGUACCGGAAUAAGAAGCACCGGCUAACUACGUGCCAGCAGCCGCGGUAAUACAGAGGGUGCUAGCGUUAAUCGGAUUUACUGGGCGUAAAGCGUGCGUAGGUGGUUUGAUAAGUCGAUUGUGAAAGCCCCGGGCUUAACCUGGGAAUUGCGGUCGAUACUGUCAGACUCGAAAACGGUAGAGGGAGGUGGAACUCCAGGU
rnacentral:rRNA from 1 species